rnacentral:lncRNA from 1 species
CAAUACCUAUUACAAAAGGAACUCUACAGAGUUAAAAAAAAUUUGAAAAACACCCCCUAAAAAGACACAUAAACCCAACAAUCCAACCCCAGGAAACCAAAGAACACAUCCUCAACACUAUACCCAAUACAUUUCCACUCACUGACACUAAAAAGAAAACCUAAACACAACAAACCAACCCGUACGGAAAACUAAACCCAAACCCCCCAC